rnacentral:rRNA from 1 species
GACGAACGCUGGCGGCGUGCCUAAUACAUGCAAGUCGAACGCAGUGGGGACGGGUGAGGAACACGUGGGCAACCUCCCAUCAGAGGGGAUAACACUUGGAAACAGGUGCUAAAUCGCUACUGAUGGAGGGACCCGGGGUGGAUUAGCUAGUUGGUGGGGUAACGGCCCACCAAGGCCACGAUGCAUAGCCGACCUGAGAGGGUGACCGGCCACACUGGAACUGAGACACGGCCCAGACUCCUACGGGAGGCAGCAGUAGGGAAUCUUGGACAAUGGACGAAAGUCUGACGGAGCAAGGCGGCGUGGAUGAAGAAGGUUUUCGGUUCGUAAAGCUCUGUUGUUGAGGAGGCGGUAUCUAACCAGAAAGCCACGGCUAACUACGUGCCAGCAGCCGCGGUAAUAC